UACAGAGGGGGCAAGCGUUAUUCGGAAUUAUUGGGCGUAAAGGGCGCGUAGGCGGCCUAGCAAGUGGAAGGUGAAAUCCCUCGGCUUAACCGAGGAACUGCCCUCCAAACUGCUUGGCUUGAGACCGGGAGAGGUGAGUGGAAUUCCCAGUGUAGCGGUGAAAUGCGUAGAUAUUGGGAGGAACACCAGUGGCGAAGGCGGCUCACUGGACCGGUACUGACGCUGAGGCGCGAAAGCGUGGGGAGCAAACAGG
rnacentral:rRNA from 1 species